rnacentral:misc_RNA from 1 species
GAUGAAGAACGUAGCGAAAUGCGAUACUUGGUGUGAAUUGCAGAAUCCCGUGAACCAUCGAGUCUUUGAACGCAAGUUGCGCCCGAAGCCAUUAGGCCGAGGGCACGCCUGCCUGGGCGUCACACGUCGUUGCCCCCCCAUCUACUCCUUCGGGAUUGCGGGGGGCGGAUGAUGGCCUCCCGUGCGCCUCGCCGCGCGGUUGGCAUAAAUGCCAAGUCCUCGGCGACGCACGCCACGACAAUCGGUGGUUGCGAAACCUCGGUUGCCCGUCGUGUGCGGUCGUCGCGCAUCGAGGGCUCGAAAAAAUGCUCGGCUCCGGCUCGGCUUUCAACGCGACCCCAGGUCAGGCGGGGUUACCCGCUGAAUUUAAGCAUAUCAAUAAGCGGAGGA